AUUGAACGCUGGCGGCAUGCCUUACACAUGCAAGUCGAACGGUAACAGGUCUUCGGAUGCUGACGAGUGGCGAACGGGUGAGUAAUACAUCGGAACGUGCCUAGUAGUGGGGGAUAACUACUCGAAAGAGUGGCUAAUACCGCAUGAGAUCUACGGAUGAAAGCAGGGGAUCGCAAGACCUUGUGCUACUAGAGCGGCCGAUGGCAGAUUAGGUAGUUGGUGGGAUAAAAGCUUACCAAGCCGACGAUCUGUAGCUGGUCUGAGAGGACGAUCAGCCACACUGGGACUGAGACACGGCACAGACUACUACGGGAGGCAGCAGUGGGGAAUUUUGGACAAUGGGCGCAAGCCUGAUCCAGCAAUGCCGCGUGCAGGAUGAAGGCCUUCGGGUUGUAAACUGCUUUUGUACGGAACGAAAAGCCCUGGGUUAAUACCCUGGGGUCAUGACGGUACCGUAAGAAUAAGCACCGGCUAACUACGUGCCAGCAGCCGCAGUAACAC
rnacentral:rRNA from 1 species